UGGGGAAUUUUGGACAAUGGGGGAAACCCUGAUCCAGCCAUCCCGCGUGUGCGAUGAAGGCCUUCGGGUUGUAAAGCACUUUUGGCAGGAAAGAAACGUCAUGGGUUAAUACCCCGUGAAACUGACGGUACCUGCAGAAUAAGCACCGGCUAACUACGUGCCAGCAGCCGCGGUAAUACGUAGGGUGCAAGCGUUAAUCGGAAUUACUGGGCGUAAAGCGUGCGCAGGCGGUUCGGAAAGAAAGAUGUGAAAUCCCAGAGCUCAACUUUGGAACUGCAUUUUUAACUACCGGGCUAGAGUGUGGCAGAGGGAGGUGGAAUUCCGCGUGUAGCAGUGAAAUGCGUAGAUAUGCGGAGGAACACCGAUGGCAAAGGCAGCCUCCUGGGAUGACACUGACGCUCAUGCACGAAAGCGUGGGGAGCAAACAGG
rnacentral:rRNA from 1 species